rnacentral:rRNA from 1 species
CAAGUCGAACGAGCGAGAGAGAGCUUGCUUUCUUGAGCGAGUGGCGAACGGGUGAGCAACGCGUGAGGAACCUGCCUCAAAGAGGGGGACAACAGUUGGAAACGACUGCUAAUACCGCAUAAGCCCACAGGUCGGCAUCGACCAGAGGGAAAAGGAGCAAUCCGCUUUGAGAUGGCCUCGCGUCCGAUUAGCUAGUUGGUGAGGUAAUGGCCCACCAAGGCGACGAUCGGUAGCCGGACUGAGAGGUUGAACGGCCACAUUGGGACUGAGACACGGCCCAGACUCCUACGGGAGGCAGCAGUGGGGAAUAUUGCACAAUGGGGGAAACCCUGAUGCAGCGACGCCGCGUGGAGGAAGAAGGUCUUCGGAUUGUAAACUCCUGUUGUUGGGGAAGAUAAUGACGGUACCCAACAAGGAAGUGACGGCUAACUACGUGCCAGCAGCCGCGGUAAAACGUAGGUCACAAGCGUUGUCCGGAAUUACUGGGUGUAAAGGGAGCGCAGGCGGGAAGACAAGUUGGAAGUGAAAUCUAUGGGCUCAACCCAUAAACUGCUUUCAAAACUGUUUUUCUUGAGUAGUGCAGAGGUAGGCGGAAUUCCCGGUGUAGC